rnacentral:rRNA from 1 species
GACGAACCGUGCGAACGUUAUUCGGAAUCACUGGGCUUAAAGCGCGUGUAGGCGGGAAGGCACGUCGGUCGGUGAAAUCCCCCGGCUCAACCGGGGAAGUGGCGCCGAUACGACCUUCCUGGAGGGACGUAGGGGGACCUGGAACUUCCGGUGGAGCGGUGAAAUGCGUUGAGAUCGGAAGGAACGCCCGUGGCGAAAGCGAGGUCCUGGACGUUUUCUGACGCUGAGACGCGAAAGCCAGGGGAGCGAACGGG